rnacentral:rRNA from 1 species
AGCCUGUUGUUUUUUAUAACAGGUGUUUUCUGCCCGGUGCCGUUGUUGGUAAACGGCCGCGGUAUCUUGACCGUGCAAAGGUAGCAUAAUCACUUGUCCUCUAAUUGGGGGCUGGAAUGAAUGGAAUAUUGAGGGCUGUGCUGUCUCGCUCUUUUUUUGGAAAUUGCUGCUUUUGUGAAGAAGCAGGAUUGAGAGGAAGGGACAAGAAGACCCUAUUAAGCUUAACUCUUUAAGGUGGCUGUAUCGUUGUUUAUAUAUUCUCGGUUGCCGGUUGAGUUUGGUUGGGGCGACUAAAGAAGAUCUGAAUCUUCUUUGUUUUUUAAAACUCUUUUGUUUACGUUUGAUCCAGGAUUUUCUGAUUAUAAGAACUAGUUACUAUAGGGAUAACAGCGUAAUUUUUUCAUAGAGUUCUUAUUAAAGAAGAAGAUUGCGACCUCGAUGUUGACUUACUGGGUUCCUUUUUAGGUGCAGUAGCUGGAAGGGUUGGUCUGUUCGACCAUUAAAACAGUACGUGAGUUGAGUUCAGACCGGCGUGAG